AGCCUUCUGUAUCCGUGCUGAGAUUUCGUCCCACACCAGGUCACAAGGGUUGAUGAGACCUCCAAAUAAGUGAAGCG
rnacentral:pre_miRNA from 1 species